GCCGACGUAGCUCAAUUGGCAGAGCAGCGGUUUUGUAAACCGCCGGUCCGGGUUCGAGUCCCGUCGUCGGCUCCA
rnacentral:tRNA from 1 species